UGCGUAGGCGGGUCUUUAAGUCAGGGGUGAAAUCCUGGAGCUCAACUCCAGAACUGCCUUUGAUACUGAAGAUCUUGAGUUCGGGAGAGGUGAGUGGAACUGCGAGUGUAGAGGUGAAAUUCGCAGAUAUUCGCAAGAACACCAGUGGCGAAGGCGGCUCACUGGCCCGAUACUGACGCUGAGGCACGAAAGCGUGGGGAGCAAACA
rnacentral:rRNA from 1 species